UAAUGUGUCCUAGGCUUAAGCCCUCAGCUU
rnacentral:piRNA from 1 species